UGGGGAAUAUUGGACAAUGGGCGAAAGCCUGAUCCAGCAAUGCCGCGUGAGUGAUGAAGGCCUUAGGGUUGUAAAGCUCUUUUACCCGGGAUGAUAAUGACAGUACCGGGAGAAUAAGCUCCGGCUAACUUCGUG
rnacentral:rRNA from 1 species